rnacentral:rRNA from 2 species
GGCUCAGAGCGAACGCUGGCGGCAGGCUUAACACAUGCAAGUCGAGCGGGCGUAGCAAUACGUCAGCGGCAGACGGGUGAGUAACGCGUGGGAACGUACCUUUUGGUUCGGAACAACACAGGGAAACUUGUGCUAAUACCGGAUAAGCCCUUACGGGGAAAGAUUUAUCGCCGAAAGAUCGGCCCGCGUCUGAUUAGCUAGUUGGUGAGGUAAUGGCUCACCAAGGCGACGAUCAGUAGCUGGUCUGAGAGGAUGAUCAGCCACAUUGGGACUGAGACACGGCCCAAACUCCUACGGGAGGCAGCAGUGGGGAAUAUUGGACAAUGGGGGCAACCCUGAUCCAGCCAUGCCGCGUGAGUGAUGAAGGCCCUAGGGUUGUAAAGCUCUUUUGUGCGGGAAGAUAAU